UUUCAUUGGUCGCAGACAGUAGACAAUAUCUACGGUCACCGUACACAUUGCACGACUGUAGAAAGAACCUCUGCGAAUUCCCCAAAUGUGGGAAUCUCGACUGCAUAAUUUCUGGUAGUGGGGGACUGCGUUCGCGCUCUCCCCUG
ensembl:snRNA U1 U1 spliceosomal RNA